GAUGAACGCUGGCGGCGUGCCUAAUACAUGCAAGUAGAACGCUGAAGGAGGAGCUUGCUCUUCUGGAUGAGUUGCGAACGGGUGAGUAACGCGUAGGUAACCUGCCUGGUAGCGGGGGAUAACUAUUGGAAACGAUAGCUAAUACCGCAUGACAACAGUUAUUGCAUGAUAACUGUUUAAAAGGGGCAACUGCUCCACUACCAGAUGGACCUGCGUUGUAUUAGCUAGUUGGUGAGGUAACGGCUCACCAAGGCGACGAUACAUAGCCGACCUGAGAGGGUGAUCGGCCACACUGGGACUGGGACACGGCCCAGACUCCUACGGGAGGCAGCAGUAGGGAAUCUUCGGCAAUGGACGGAAGUCUGACCGAGCAACGCCGCGUGAGUGAAGAAGGUUUUCGGAUCGUAAAGCUCUGUUGUCAGAGAAGAACGAGUGUGAGAGUGGAAAGUUCACACUGUGACGGUAUCUUACCAGAAAGGGACGGCUAACUACGUG
rnacentral:rRNA from 1 species